UACGUAGGGGGCUAGCGUUGUCCGGAAUCAUUGGGCGUAAAGCGCGUGUAGGCGGUCCGGUAAGUCCGCUGUGAAAGUCGGGGGCUCAACCCUCGGAUGCCGGUGGAUACUGUCGGGCUUGAGUACGGAAGAGGCGAGUGGAAUUCCCGGUGUAGUGGUGAAAUGCGUAGAGAUCGGGAGGAACACCAGUGGCGAAGGCGGCUCGCUGGGCCGGUCCUGACACUGAGACGCGAAGGCGUGGGGAGCGAACGGG
rnacentral:rRNA from 1 species